rnacentral:rRNA from 1 species
CGGUUCCUACGGGAGGCAGCAGUGAGGAAUAUUGGUCAAUGGUCGGGAGACUGAACCAGCCAAGCCGCGUGAGGGAGGAAGGUACAGAGUAUCGUAAACCUCUUUUGUCAGGGAACAAAGACUGGGACGCGUCCCCGGAUGAGUGUACCUGAAGAAAAAGCAUCGGCUAACUCCGUGCCAGCAGCCGCGGUAAUACGGAGGAUGCGAGCGUUAUCCGGAUUUAUUGGGUUUAAAGGGUGCGCAGGCGGUCUGUUAAGUCAGCGGUCAAAGCCCGGGGCUCAACCCCGGCCCGCCGUU